rnacentral:rRNA from 1 species
UACGUAGGUGACAAGCGUUGUCCGGAUUUACUGGGCGUAAAGAGCGCGCAGGCGGUCGAUCAAGUCGAGUGUGAAAGCCCCCGGCUCAACUGGGGAGGGUCAUUCGAAACUGGUCGACUCGAAGGCAGGAGAGGGUAGUGGAAUUCCCGGUGUAGUGGUGAAAUGCGUAGAUAUGCGGAGGAACACCGAUGGCGAAGGCAAUCCCCUGGACCUGUACUGACGCUCAUGCACGAAAGCGUGGGGAGCAAACAGG